rnacentral:rRNA from 1 species
AUUGAACGCUGGCGGCAGGCCUAACACAUGCAAGUCGAGCGGGGUUUUCGGACCUAGCGGCGGACGGGUGAGUAAUGCGUAGGAAGCUACCCGAUAGAGGGGGAUACCAGUUGGAAACGACUGUUAAUACCGCAUAAUGUCUACGGACCAAAGUGUGGGACCUUCGGGCCACAUGCUAUCGGAUGAGCCUACGUGGGAUUAGCUAGUUGGUGAGGUAAUGGCUCACCAAGGCGACGAUCCCUAGCUGGUUUGAGAGGAUGAUCAGCCACACUGGAACGGUGACACGGUCCAGACUCCUACGGGAGGCAGCAGUGGGGAAUAUUGGACAAUGGGCGCAAGCCUGAUCCAGCCAUGCCGCGUGUGCGAAGAAGGCCUUCGGGUUGUAAAGCACUUUCAGUAGGGAGGAAGCGUUGUGUGUUAAUAGUACACAGCGUUGACGUUACCUACAGAAGAAGCACCGGCUAACUCUGUGCCAGCCGCCGCCGUAACAC